GAAAAAUGUAAGGAUGCUGAACUUAGUGCAAUAGAUCUUUUAAAGGACAUGCAUUGCAACAAAAAGAAAGGUUUUAGUGAAAAUAUUGAGAAAGCUAUUGUUGACAUGGAAGAAAUAAUGGUAGCACCAAUUUAGGAUGGAUAACAACCAAAAUAUCCUACAAAAGUUGUUUCUAGUAUCAUACCGGGCUCCAGUGUGUUCCUAUGCAAUGUUGGUCUUCGGUCUGCAUCCAAGAAAAGCUCCAUAGCGUCAAUUUCUGCAAAGGUUCAACAACUUUAGGAUGAACUUGAGAUCAAGAAGCAAGAAAUAUUUGUAGUGAACAAAUUCAUGCGAUAUUUUGGUUGUGAUGUGUAAUAUUCCUUGACGAUAUGAAUGCUUAUGAUGUGUUCCUUCUAAUGACUAUUGUAUCUAUCACAAAUGCUUUGGCACAUCACUGCCAUGUCAUCAUAUUUUAUGAUGAAAAUAUUCGUCACAAAUGUAUUGCCA